GAUGAACGCUGGCGGCAGGCUUAACACAUGCAAGUCGAGCGGGCGUAGCAAUACGUCAGCGGCAGACGGGUGAGUAACGCGUGGGAACGUACCUUUUGGUUCGGAACAACACAGGGAAACUUGUGCUAAUACCGGAUAAGCCCUUACGGGGAAAGAUUUAUCGCCGAAAGAUCGGCCCGCGUCUGAUUAGCUAGUUGGUGAGGUAAUGGCUCACCAAGGCGACGAUCAGUAGCUGGUCUGAGAGGAUGAUCAGCCACAUUGGGACUGAGACACGGCCCAAACUCCUACGGGAGGCAGCAGUGGGGAAUAUUGGACAAUGGGCGCAAGCCUGAUCCAGCCAUGCCGCGUGAGUGAUGAAGGCCCUAGGGUUGUAAAGCUCUUUUGUGCGGGAAGAUAAUGACGGUACCGCAAGAAUAAGCCCCGGCUAACUUCGUGCCAGCAGCCGCAGUAA
rnacentral:rRNA from 1 species